UGAGUAUGCCGGGCGACCGCGGGCCCAAUCGCCGAAAGGCCGGGCCUGAGGAAAGUCCGAGCUCCGCAGGGCAGGGUGCUGGGUAACACCCAGUGGAGGCGACUCCAAGGAAAGUGCCACAGAGACAUACCGCCGAUGGCCGUAUUUUGCGGCACAGGCAAGGGUGGAAAGGCGAGGUAAGAGCUCACCAGCAGCCAGGUGACUGGCUGGCUCGGUAAACCCCACCUGGAGCAAGACCGAAUAGGGGAGCUGUGGAACGGCCCGUUCCGCUCCCGGGUUAGGUCGCUAGAGGUGCCGGGUAACCGGCAUCCCAGAUAAAUGGUCGCCGCCCCUCAAACGAGGGGGCACAGAACUCGGCUUACAGGCAUACUCAUGCG
rnacentral:RNase_P_RNA from 1 species